rnacentral:snRNA from 1 species
GGAUGUGAGGGCAAUCUGGCUGCGACAUCUGUCACCGGGUUGAUCCAGCUGAUCUGGCUGGCUAGUGGGUGUCCCUUUCCUCCCUCAGGGCUCCAUCGAAGAGGAGGACCUUCCUCAAUAGAGACUGGUCGAGGGUAUAGUAUAUGAGUAGCCACACUCCCCUGCUAGAACCUCCAAACAAGCUCUCUGGGGUUUGUUUGCCAUAGUAGAACUUCCCAAUAAGUAUCUGAAUUAACAUAUCUGUUAAGGUUC